rnacentral:rRNA from 1 species
UACAGGCUUAACACAUGCAAGUCGAGGGGCAGCAUGGUCUUAGCUUGCUAAGGCCGAUGGCGACCGGCGCACGGGUGAGUAACGCGUAUCCAACCUGCCUUACACUCUUGGACAGCCUUCUGAAAGGGAGAUUAAUACAAGAUGUUAUCAUGAGUAAGCAUUUUCGCAUGAUUAAAGGUUUACCGGUGUAAGAUGGGGAUGCGUUCCAUUAGAUAGUAGGCGGGGUAACGGCCCACCUAGUCUUCGAUGGAUAGGGGUUCUGAGAGGAAGGUCCCCCACAUUGGAACUGAGACACGGUCCAAACUCCUACGGGAGGCAGCAGUGAGGAAUAUUGGUCAAUGGACGAGAGUCUGAACCAGCCAAGUAGCGUGAAGGAUGAAGGUUCUAUGGAUUGUAAACUUCUUUUAUACGGGAAUAAACGAAUCCACGUGUGGAUUUUUGCAUGUACCGUAUGAAUAAGGAUCGGCUAACUCCGUGCCAGCAGCCGCGGUAAUACGGAGGAUCCGAGCGUUAUCCGGAUUUAUUGGGUUUAAAGGGAGCGUAGAUGGGUUGUUAAGUCAGUUGUGAAGGUUUGCGGCUCAACCGUAAAAUUGCAAUUGAUACUGGCAGUCUUGAGUACAGUUGAGGUAGGCGGAAUUCGUGGUGUAGCGGUGAAAUGCUUAGAUAUCACGAAGAACUCCGAUUGCGAAGGCAGCUUACUAACCUGUAACUGACAUUGAUGCUCGAAAGUGUGGGUAUCAAACAGGAUUAGAUACCCUGGUAGUCCACACGGUAAACGAUGAAUACUCGCUGUAGGCGAUAUACAGUCUGCGGCCAAGCGAAAGCAUUAAGUAUUCCACCUGGGGAGUACGCCGGCAACGGUGAAACUCAAAGGAAUUGACGGGGGCCCGCACAAGCGGAGGAACAUGUGGUUUAAUUCGAUGAUACGCGAGGAACCUUACCCGGGCUUAAAUUGCAACCGAAUAUGGCGGAAACGCUAUAGCUAGCAAUAGCGGUUGUGAAGGUGCUGCAUGGUUGUCAUCAGCUCGUGCCGUGAGGUGUCGGCUUAAGUGCCAUAACGAGCGCAACCCUUGCCGAUAGUUACUAACAGGUCAUGCUGAGGACUCUGUCGGGACUGCCAUCGUAAGAUGUGAGGAAGGUGGGGAUGACGUCAAAUCAGCACGGCCCUUACGUCCGGGGCUACACACGUGUUACAAUGGGGGGUACAGAGGGCUGCUACCACGCAAGUGGAUGCCAAUCCCAAAAACCUCUCUCAGUUCGGAUUGAAGUCUGCAACCCGACUUCAUGAAGCUGGAUUCGCUAGUAAUCGCGCAUCAGCCACGGCGCGGUGAAUACGUUCCCGGGCCUUGUACACACCGCCCGUCAAGCCAUGGGAGCCGGGGGUACCUGAAGUGCGUAACCGCAAGGAGCGCCCUAGGGUAAAACUGGUGACUGGGGCUAAG